rnacentral:rRNA from 1 species
AUUGAACGCUGGCGGCGUGCCUAACACAUGCAAGUCGCACGCGAAAGGGGGCAACCCCAAGUAGAGUGGCGGACGGGUGAGUAACGCGUAGGAAUCUACCUAGUAGUGGGGGUCAACCCGGCGAAAGCCGGGCUAACACCGCAUACGACCUAAGGGUGAAAGCAGGGGAUCGCAAGACCUUGCGCUAUUAGAUGAGCCUGCGUCCGAUUAGCUAGUUGGUGAGGUAACGGCUCACCAAGGCGACGAUCGGUAACUGGUUUGAGAGAACGACCAGUCACAUUGGGACUGAGACACGGCCCAAACUCCUACGGGAGGCAGCAGUGGGGAAUAUUGGACAAUGGGGGCAACCCUGAUCCAGCGACGCCGCGUGUGUGAAGAAGGCCUUCGGGUUGUAAAGCACUUUCGGCAGGGACAAACAAGACGGAGCUAACAUCUCCGUUCCUGAUGGUACCUGAAGAAGAAGCACCGACUAACUCUGUGCCAGCAGCCGCAGUAA